GAAUCCCCGGGGAGCGGCGGUGGCGGCGUCCUGGGGCCAGGAGGAGCGAACACCUGCCGCGGUCCUCCCGCCGGCGCUGGGCACACGACUGUCUAUCCCAGAUGGCUGCACUGGCCUAGGACAGACGGUUCUUCCCCCAGUACGUCAAGACCCUGGAGGGUGCAAGCUACAGAACAGCUGGGCUCCUGCAUUCCUCCCAGACCCUGUCUUCAGUAGGACAACAGGCAACAAACUUAAAUUUGGGUCAAGCGAUUCCCCUGCCUCAGCUUCCUGAGUAGCUGGGAUUACAGAUAGCCCUGGGAUCUCCUGAAUUUCCAGGUUGGGCUACUCAGGCAUGGAUUGACUCCUACAGUUCAGGCGGAUGGAGAUCCCACCAACCCACAGCUUAAUUCUUCAGAUGCUUUAUCUUCAUUUCUCAUGUAUCUUCAGUUGGCUUCUAAUGCUCUGUGUGCUCCGGGAUGGAGCAGGUGUGCAGAGGGUGAGAACCCAGCUCUGGGACCAAGUCACUUGCUUCCUUACUUAGCAAGACUAUCGACUUG
rnacentral:lncRNA from 10 species